rnacentral:rRNA from 1 species
UACGUAGGGGGCCAGCGUUGUCCGGAUUUACUGGGCGUAAAGCGUGCGUAGGCGGAAGUUUAAGUGUGGCCUGAAAGCCCCCGGCUCAACCGGGGAGGGUGGCUGCAAACUGGGCUUCUUGAGGGCGAUAGAGGAGAGUGGAAUUCCGGGUGUAGCGGUGAAAUGCGUAGAUAUCCGGAGGAACACCAGUGGCGCAGGCGGCUCUCUGGGACGGUACUGACGCUGAGACGCGAAAGCGUGGGGAGCGAACAGG